GGGGCCGUGGUGUAGCCUGGUUUAACACACCGGCCUGUCAAGCCGGAGAUCGCGGGUUCAAAUCCCGUCGGCCCCGCCA
rnacentral:tRNA from 1 species